GACGAACGCUGGCGGCGUGCUUAACACAUGCAAGUCGAACGGAAAGGCCCUGCUUUUGUGGGGUGCUCGUGUGGCGAACGGGUGAGUAACACGUGAGUAACCUGCCCUUGACUUUGGGAUAACUUCAGGAAACUGGGGCUAAUACCGGAUAGGAGCUCCUGCUGCAUGGUGGGGGUUGGAAAGUUUCGGCGGUGGGGGAUGGACUCGCGGCUUAUCAGCUUGUUGGUGGGGUAGUGGCUUACCAAGGCUUUGACGGGUAGCCGGCCUGAGAGGGUGACCGGCCACAUUGGGACUGAGAUACGGCCCAGACUCCUACGGGAGGCAGCAGUGGGGAAUAUUGCACAAUGGGCGGAAGCCUGAUGCAGCAACGCCGCGUGCGGGAUGACGGCCUUCGGGUUGUAAACCGCUUUCGCCUGUGACGAAGCGUGAGUGACGGUAAUGGGUAAAGAAGCACCGGCUAACUACGUG
rnacentral:rRNA from 1 species